rnacentral:sRNA from 1 species
GGGGAGUGCUCUCCCAGGCGCGAUGGAGGCAACCCGAACCUGAAGCAGCCACACUGCCUUACAUUUGAUCCUUCUCUCAGUUUUUUCCCCACUUAAUCACCGCUGAAAAAUUUCCACCCCAUUGAAGCAGCUAGGGCUCCGACAAGCUACUCUCCUCUGCAAGGCCUACCGUGGGGGCCACUUAACCAUCCGCCUUGCCCUGGGUGGCUGCACCAAUCGGCCCUUCUACCGCAUUGUGGCUGCUCACAACAAGUGUCCCAGGGAUGGCCGUUUCGUAGAGCAGCUGGGCUCCUAUGAUCCAUUGCCCAACAGUCAUGGAGAAAAACUCGUUGCCCUCAACCUAGACAGGAUCCGUCAUUGGAUUGGCUGCGGGGCCCACCUCUCUAAGCCUAUGGAAAAGCUUCUGGGUCUUGCUGGCUUUUUCCCUCUGCAUCCUAUGAUGAUCACAAAUGCUGAGAGACUGCGAAGGAAACGGGCACGUGAAGUCCUGUUAGCUUCUCAGAAAACAGAUGCAGAAGCUACAGAUACAGAGGCUACAGAAACAUAAAUGAGCUGACUUCAGUGAGCAUAGCAGUGGGAACAAGGUCAAGGUCCUUUUGAAACACUGCAGCGAUCUUAAUUUUGUUAGAUUUGGAGUUCAAUAAAUGGAGUAUCCUGA